rnacentral:lncRNA from 1 species
UUUAGCUAGUUUAGCUAGACGUAGCAAGCAUUCUGCGGCAGGCUCGGACAGGCACCUAUAUACGUGUACCUGGGACCUCCUGAAUGUCCCAAGUAGCAGCUUGAAGCUAGAGAGAGAAUAUGGAAACUCACACAGGCCAACGUUAAAAUCAAGGAAAAAGAAAACUCGAUUUGCUCAAUAUUUGUUAAUCAUAUUCCUAGGAAUUCCCAACCUGCAAACAUAUUUUUACAUAACCAAAAAUACACAGCAGUCAAUAAGCUAAGGGUCCAGCCAGCGUUAUACAUAGCUGUCGCAAUCGCUCCUAUCUAUCCACACGGCUGGCUGGCUCGCGAGAUUAUAUAGCGAAUGGAAACUGAUCCACGCACGGCGAGCAACCAAAACACCUGAGAAGUACAGCAGCAGAAUUACAGCAGGCAGCAGUCAUCAGGAAGCUACACACAGCAGAUCAGCGGGUAACGACGGCGACGUCGACGGCGUGGGGCGGCGCCGGCGGCGCGAAGGGGAGGCUCCGGAGGACGAGGAAGCGGACCCGGCGCGGCAGGACGCGCCGCGGCGCCGCGGCAGAGAGCAGGCGCUCCACGGCGCGCGCCACCGCCGCCGUGUAGGCCUCCAGCAGCUCCGCCAUGAUCGACACGAGUAUCAUGUCUUCUCUGGAUGAGGGGUCUUUUUGUGAGUGUACGUGUGGAGUUUACGCUGGGUUCUGUCCUCUUCCGUUGCUUCCUUUAUUCUCUUCCUGCCACUCUGCUCUGCCUCUUCUUUCGAAAAAUCGAACGGAGGGUCUCGUUCUAUGAAUUCCUUUUUUUUUUCAGGGAUCAUUGUACGGAUUCCUUCUUUACGGUAGUCCAUUGCAGUUAAUAACGGCGAGCUUAUCCUGUUUCAGGUGUGACGUGGGGCCGGUGGGGUCCGCCCUGUUGCGGAAAGAUCUUUGUUCCUCCGGCGCUAAAAGGCACUGCACCCACCUGGAGCAACUCGAUUUUUUGUAGAAAAAGAAAAUAUCAGCUUGACUGAAACCGAAUUUUGAGAAAAGCUUAUAGCUAAACAAAUGUUGAUGUGGAAGAGAAAAGAUAAAAGAGAGAUGAUAGCUUAGCUCUCAUGCAAGCACCAAGCUGUAGUGGUGGAUCCAAAUAGCAAGUAUUGUGAGGAGGAAUAAAAAAGAGAAGGUGUCUUAUAGACAAGUAUAUAUGAGACAACUUACUAUAUAUAACUUGGCUCUAAUCACUUGGCUUUAUUAUUGACUUUGCUCUAACUGCAUCAUGACACAUGUAUUAACGCAACCAUCGACGCCAUAUGUAUUGGCGCAACCGUCGACCGAGGGGCAAUUUAAAUAUUUGCUUCCCUUACGGAUGGCUCCUCGUCACUUGCCCCUCUUAUAAGUGCAAUUAAAGAUUUGCCCUGAGUAUCUCUUCAGUCAUAUAGAUUUGCCCAUUUUAGCUAUGUGGCGGUCCAACUCAUCAUGUCAGCUUGGAUCGGCUAUGGAAAAAGACCAUAUUACCUCUCCCUAUGUUUUUUUGCUCUCUCCUAGACAGAGAGCAGCAUAUAUAUAUAUAUAUAUAUAUAUAUAUAUAUAUAUAUAUAUAUAUAUAUAUAUAUAUAUAUAUAUAUAUAUAUAUAUAUAUAUAUAGUGACGUUCAGGUGGUGCAGCAAGGAUCAAAUUAGGUUACAGAGAAUGCCACACUGCAAACAUCAAAUUCAACACCCAAAAAACAGGGGGAACAAAAAAGAAAUCGAAAUCAUUCAUACUCCGAAACGUAACCUGAAUCACUUCCUCUCUUAUCACCAGAGCACACGUACACGUUUGCUCAUCAUGCAUGGCCCGUGACACACUAGUGCAUGCGCUCAGUAGUGGUGCGUGGGCUCGCACUUCUCCGGCAUGAACGCGAGCGGGCCGGCGGCGUAGACGACGUUCUUGAAGCCGCGGUGGUCGGUCCACUGCUUGCCCUCGUCGCGGACCGGCGCGCCCAGCAUGCCACCGUUGAUGUCGGUGACGACGUUGCACUUGGCGUCGGGCGACGAGAGCAGGCGCACGAAGCAGGCCUCGAGGGGGAUCCUUGUCCAGGUUACCAGGUAGUAAUCGGCGCGCUGGACGCCGAACUGGGCGUGGAAGUAGCCGCGUUGUCGUCGGUGGCGCGCUGCCGGUACGCCAUGACGCAGUUCUUCCUGUCGCGGCAGGUGACCGUCACGUUAGCCCUCAGCAGCGGCUUCACGCCGUCGAGGCUCUGCGAGCCCUUCUUCUCGCAGCUCUGGCACAGCACCACGCCCUCCACGAGUCCACGUGCACCACCACCAGCUUCUUGUCGUCGUCGUAGCCGUGAGGAGAGAGCAAAAAACAGAGGGAUGGGCAAUAUGGUCUUUUCCCAUAACCGAUCCAAGCUGACAUGAUGAGUUGGACUGCCACAUAGCUAAAAUGGGCAAAUCUAUAUGACUCAAGAGAUAUUCAGGGCAAAUCUUUAAUUGCACUUAUAAGAGGGGCAAGUGAGGAAGAGCCAUCCGUAAGGGGGGCAAAAUUGCCCUCGACCGAGGGUGCUAUGAUGGUUAUAGUCAAUUGUUUCAGUCACAUUGGAGCUGAUGUGGCACUCUAGUCGCACCAGUUACGCCCAAAGAAUUUUGUAACUGAGUUACACCCAGAGCUUCGACGCGACUCAGCCCGGUACAAAGCCACAACAUAGCUAGCCCUCUUCCUCCUCCUCCUCCUCCUCCUCCUCUCUCUCUCUCUCCCCUCCAUUCGUAAGCAGAGACGACGACGUAGGAAGCCAAUGAUGGUUCUUGUGGCGAGAUCCACCGCCUACCUCCCCAUUUCUGUUAGCCCCACACACCCAAAACAUUAGUAUCAAGUACCUCCUCUAUUUGCCUUCUCUCAUUUGGUUAGUUUGCUUUGUUUUGGUAGUAUUAAAAAUGGUUAGGGUUUGAUGAUUUGAGUGGAUUUGAGGGUUGUUGCUAGUUUUAAGAGUCUGUUUGGGACAGCUUCAUCUCUGAAAAAAGUGAAUCUAAAUCUAGGAUUUAUCGUGGAACAGCUCUACUAGUGGAUCCAAGAUCCACCGUGAAACCAUUCGGCUCACAUAGCAGCUCCAGAUCCACCUAAGGACAAUUGGAUUGGAAUAGAUAGAUUUACCCUUGGACAGGUCAAACUUUCAAUGUCAGAAAAAAGAAAAUCCUAGGCAUCUUCCUCCUCCGGUCGGCUCUAUGGCACGCAAGGAAGACGGCGGCCAACCACAACUAGAUGCGAGCACCAGGGUGGUUGUGUGGAGGUGGCUCGCGCACGGACUUAUGGAGGCGGGGUCAGGCGGGCAUGCGGAAUGACUCACCAGGGAGGGUCGCGCAGCCUCCUCGAGGAAGGAGUGUGCGGUACAAGACUGCUCACCAGGAAGGGUUGUGCAACCGUCGUCGUCGGGGAAGGGCACGCGACCGUCCUCGCUGGGGAGGGGCGCACCUCGACGUGGGGGCAUGGCCAACCAUGGUGGCCUCUCCCGAGCACGGCCUCAGUUGCUCGUCCAGCCCCAACACACGACAAGGGGACAUCAUCAGGUGAGGCGCAUGGCGGCAACCAUGGCCAGACCAGUCGAGGUGCAUGGCAGCAGCCACAGCCACACACGGACCGUGCGAGGGCAUGGCCAUGCCAGGGGGCAUCUCUCAGCGACGGCACGUGGUAAGGGCAAGCUGGUCGGGCCAUGGCACUAGUUGUGGUGAAGAAGAAAGCACAGCAAGGGAAGACUCAGGUCGACGAUAGGAGGAAAAAUGAAAAAAUUAAAGCGAACUGGUAUAUUGUGUAACCAGUGGCAGUGGUGGAUAAUUUACUCCAACUCUACCAAUUCAAGUUUGGUGGAGCACCCAUUGAGAAGCUCCACCAUUUUUGUGAAUCUAGUCCUAGCUCAGAUUCACUGUUUGGGUGGAUCUAGAUUUGGUAUAGCUAGACUAUUUAGCAAACUUUUUGGAGAGUGGAGCUAUUUUUGCUGAAUCUAGAGUUGGGAGAGUUGUCCCAAACAGACCCUAAGAGUGAGGUUUUAUAAACAUAACUCCAAGAACCCUGUCAUUGAGACUCCAAAAUUCAUUCAAAUCAAUGCUCAUACAUGGGACCCACUCAUCAUUAGAUGCUACACAUAUUUUCUCUUGUUCCUCUUUCUUUUCCUAUCUUCUCACAUAUGUGAUGUUUGGUUCAGCUAUUUUGGCAAAUAAUCGAUUCUAAUCGACACCCUUGCUUCUUGUUUUGUCAAACAGGCCUGCAAUCAAUUACACGUAAAUAAAUAGAGGCCUAUAUAAUCUCAUUACCCCUAUUUCCAAACCUGUUCUCAAUCAUCCCCUCUCAUGUAGUCGCAGUUCCCUCCCAUGAGGUAUCAUGUUGCAUGAAAUGUUGCUACUAGCCAAGCUAGAUUAAGGAAAUGAAAGUGGUUAAAAAUUCCAACCAAACAAAAUGUCACUAUCUCUUACCCUAUAACAAUCACGAUGCUACUAAUUACAUUACCGUGCCAUUGCCUAAAGUAGCUUGCAGCAAACAAUACCUUUGAAGGGCGAUCGACGGCUAGGGUCAAGAAGAAGGGCGGCCAGUGGCAGAAGCUGAGGAAAGGACAAGCUUAGGAUCAAGAUCAGAGCAGCUAAGGCAUGAGCUCGAGGGCAUCCGACAACUAGGGGACAUGCAGGAGGAUAUCCAACGGCCAGCUCAGGGGCAAGACAGUUAAUUGGGUGUUGAACUUGGGGUGGGUGGAUAGAGCUUGGAGUAAUUGGGUGUUGAACUUGGGGUGGGUGGAUAGAGCUUGGAGUUGGGAUAGUUUAGAGCUCGUGAUAGGAGAGGGUGGUGGCUAACUAGAGUUGGUGAAGAUGACCAAAGCUUGAGGAAUGCUAGGAUUCCGACUAGGAGGCCAAAUUCAAUGAGAAAAGCGCGCUGGAGGAUGAGAAUCUGAUUUUGAUUAGCAGGGACGGUGGAUCUGACAUACAAAAUCAAAGUUGAUGGCAUGCAAUGGGGUGGCACACAAGAGGGAGGCAUAAUUAGUGUUAGUGUACGUGCAAACACUAGUGGGUGAACCGUGAAGGGUGAGUAGGAGUCUCGGUGAGCCCUAAGAAUGAAGGUUUGGGAAGGAGAUUUGACUUUUGAUGGUGUCUUACUUUUGAGGACCAAAUUUUCUAUCUUGUUUUCAUCCCUAUAUUUAAGGGUGUCCUAUUUCUGAGGGUCCAAAUUAAAUAAAAACUCUACUGGAGCUUAAAUUUUAUCUAUGGUCUACAAAAUAUGUUAAAGGCCUACUUCGAUUGUUGUUAUAUUGAAGUGAAAAUUUACUAUUUGACACGAAAAAGUCAUGCUCUAUCAUUUGAUACCCAAACUCAAAAUCUUUCUUAUUUGGACACUCAUUGAAUUUUCCUUACCUAUCCAACACUUCCGUCAGUUUAGUGGUCUAAUGGUGUUAAAUUCCAUGUACAAAGACCUUUUGCCCCUACUAAAUUUUUAAAAUGUUACACUUUGCUUUUUAAUUAUUUCUAUAAUUAACAGAUCUCAUAAUUAAAGGCAUGAGCAUCAUCUUACAAAUACGAUACGUUCCAUAUGAAUUAAUUAUACAUACAUAAAAAUAACUAAUAUGAGAUGGUCAAAAAGACCUCAUACAACAAUCAGUUUGACUUUAAGAUAAGCCAUGUCAUUUUAAGAUCAAUUAAGAGACCACCUAUACAAACAAUCAGCCUCUUGAUCAAUUCCAAACUUAUUAGUCUGAUCAGUCAUGGUAUAGUGUAUUUCUCUCACAAUAGUCUCGACCUAACCAGAGGGAGUACUUUGUAAUGUAAGAAGAUAAAAACGUAGCGAGAGGAGAGCGAAAGCAACAGGGCCACAGGGCUAGGCUGCCAGGGCCAAAUAUCUUGAGUAGCCAUCACCUAGUCGUUGCUAAAGUGAAAGUGGCGACUCUAGUAAUUAUGGAAGAUAGAACAUGUAAUAACUAGAAUAAUACACUUCUUGCUCUCGCAAAAGAGACACUUUUUUUAUCAGGAUACUCAUUUGGACGUACUCAUAGAUCAUUUUCCAUACACCUUGCUAGUCAUGAAUCAUUGAAUUGUUUCAUUCAGGGUUCAGAUUAUUCGCUAUGGAUUUUUGAUAAAUUUGAUAUUUCAAGUUUUACUGGUCAGUUCGUCGCUGAAAUUUGGCUUAUGCUAAUGCUGAUGUUGAUUUGUUGUGAGAUAAAAACAUUGUUCUUUCACUGAGAAGUAGUGCCGAAGAACAGGGUAGCACUACUAUGUAUUUAACUUUUUAGCAUGUUUUUCACCUCCAAUUUGAUCAGAAUUGGCGGUAAAAAUUUAUCACUCCUGGUUCAAAAGCCGGAGAAGAAGUUGUAGAUCAUAUUGGAGGUGAAAAGGUUGUUAACUUAUAUAUCAAAGUUUAAAGUUUUCAAAUAACCUCAGAUAUUAACUUGGUAUAUAUCAAAAUUGUAGUUCUCAAUAUGAUCUAUAGCUUCACAGUUAAAUUUUUUAUUUAAAGUCGUUUAGAGUCCUAAAUGUGUGUUUUAAGUUCAUAUAUUAUGAAAUUUAAAAUUUUAGAAUUUCUAAAUGACCUUGAAUAUUCAUGUAGUUAAUACCAAACUUGUAAUCGCCAAUCUGAUUUACAUGUUUGUUGUUAGUAAGUUUUUUAUUUUAAGAUUUUUAGUGUCUAGAAUAUUCAGCUAUUUAAACUCACUUAUUGUUUAUGCUUAUGAAAUAUGAGAUAAAAUUGAAGGUAGAAGAAAGGGAUAUAAUCAAAUUCUUGAUUUGAUCUUCAAUGAAACCACCCUUUGUAUGAAAAUGGAGAGUGAUCAUAUUUGAAUUCAAAGCACUACCGUACCAAUUUUGUGCUUCAAUAUAAUUUCUCAUAGUAAGUGUUAUACUCCCUUCAAACCAAUAAUGAAAGUCAUUUUGGACAAGGUUUGGAUCAAAUAUUGAGAAUAUAAAUCAUGAAUAAUUUUUAAGUUGUUGAAUUUGGAAAUGUGAAAACCAUAUAUUGUCUUGAAAAAUACUUUCAUAAAAGUAUAUACAUAUACCACUUUUUGAUAAAUAUUUUUAUAAAAAUAUGGAGUCAAAGUUAGGUUUUGGAGGCCAUAUUAUUGUUAUAAACGACUUCCUUUAUGGAUAUAGAGAAGUAGCUUAUUUCUAAUACUUAGCAGCUUGGUCAAACCAAGCUUCCGCAAUUUUUGAAUUGCCCUAUAGAAUUGCAUGUUCUCCUCGGUCGGAAUAGUAGUUCCUUUCCCAGAACCGGAAACAACCUGCGGCUCAGUUUUGUGUUGUGUUUUAUGCUCAGUUUCGUGUUUAUAAUACUUAACCAUUUUUAGUUGGGUUGAGUAACUCCUAACACAGCAUGGUAAUACUCCCUCUAUAUCCAUAAAGAAAAUCAUUUUGGACAAGAUUUAAGUUAAACAUUAUUAGCAAUAUAAAUUAUGAAUAAUUUUUAAGUUGUUGAAUUUGGAAAUGUGAAAAUUAUAUAAAUAGAUUUGUGUUGAAACAUACUUUCAUAAAAAUAUAUGUAUACCACUUUUUGAUAAAUAAUUUUAUAAAAAUAAGAAGUCAAAAUUAGACUUUAGGGACCAUGUCUUUGUCCUAAAUAACUUCUGUGAGUAUGGAGCGAAUAUUAUUGAACUCGGCAGCCUGCUGCUGCAAUGCGUGGGCUUCCUGCUAGUUUGGUAUGGUAUGGUAUGCUUCGAUCGAUCACUUCGCUAUAAUUUAAAGUUGAUCCAAACAGAACCUUGGUACUAUCAACCACCAAAUUUGAUGUUGUUCCGCAUUUCAUAAUGAGCGCUUGAUGUUGUCUAUUGAAGCGAGUAAAUGACGAUUGACAGUGACUCAUCGUACAUACCUAAUUCAUUUCCAUAUCGAAGUCGUUUUCACACAAGAAUAAAAGGUUUACACGCGAGGUGCCGUGGAUUAUUAUUUACAACAAGUGUACUGAUGGUACACGUAAUAGCAGGAAUAAAAACGUUUGACUCGAUUGGUCAUAUGCUGACUAUUUAAUUACGUAAAAUGAAAAAAAAAAGAAAAAAGGAUGCACAUCAUGCAUGUCGUCACAUUAGUGGGAAGGACGGGCGGAUGGCGAUGCCGCAGAGCCCCUCCGGCUUGCCGGCGACGUCCUUCCUCAUCUUGAUGUAUCCGCCGUCGCCCCAGCUCGCCCCCCACGAGUUCUUGAUGAUCCAGUACUUGUCCCCGUCCUCCUCCUCCUGCCCGUAGCCUACGACGGUGACGCCGUGGUUCAGGCUGGUCCCGCACGGCCCGUUGUAGACGCCCCUCUUGUAGUGCUGGAAGUUGUCCCCGCCGGCCUCGAUGGACACGGCCACCGGCUGCCCCGCCACGGCGUUCGCCAGCGACGCCUCGCUCCGGGUGGCCACUCGCCGGAGCCCCGCGAUGCUGGCCGCGUUGUGGGCGAGCUUGGCCCUGUUGCAGGCGUCCGUGGUGCCCGUGUACGGGUAGUCCUCCUCCGUGGUGAGCCCGCCGUUGGAGGUGAUCCACCGCAGCGCGCGGUAGCUGAUGCCGCCGUCGCAGCCGGCGUCCAGCGUGUCGCAGUCCACCAGCUCCUGCUCCGACAGCGACACCAGCUUCCCCGUCCGGAUCUGGUAGAUCCCUUCAACCACCGCUACCGUCGAGAAGGCCCAGCACGACCCUGCACCACGAUCCGACGAUCCGAUUCCGAUUCAUGCAUGUGUUGGGUUGGGGAGCACAUGCAGAUGCAGGCAAAAGCAUGUGUUUUGCGCAGUGACGACAAAGCAUGUGGUUAUUAGGGACAGCUGAUCAGAGCAAUAAUAGGUGGCAAAUGACUGGUGACUGCCAGUACGGAAUGACAUGAUGAUGAUGCUCUUUAGUUUACGGAAUUCUACUGUACAUACCACAUCGGCCUUGGUUCUUCACCGGCGUCACGGCGCCGCUGGCCCGCCAGUCCACGCUCGCCGGCGCGGCGGUGGACAGGUUCACGUACACCGGCAGCUGGCCGACGGCGUCAACAGGCCCCGCGCGGGUGGUGAUCACCGCCUCCGCGGCGUCGUCCUCGUCUUCGUCGGCAGGCAGCUGCGCCGGCGAGGGGGCCGCCGUGUACAUGGCCAUGAACUCCUGGUUGGUGAGGUCGGUGUAGGCCGUCUCGCCGAGCUCGUAAGUGAGCCCCGCGGCCUCGGCCUCGGCGUUGGUGGCCUCGAUGUACGCCAUGUUGCGCGCGUACACCAGGAACCGCCGCCGGUCCUCGGCGACCGUGGCGUAGGACUUGUUGUACGCCGCCUUCCACCGCUGGAACCGCUCGAUCAUCGGGCUGUUGUCGUCGGUGCUGCUCCCCAUGUCGCCGGCGUACGGUCUGUGGGCCGUCGCCGACGAGCAGCCAUGGUGGAAGACUACAGCGAGGAGGAGGACCACCACGCAUGGCAGCGACCGCUUGGAGGAGGACGCCAUGGAUGAUCGGGACUGGUCGGCCUAGCCCGCGGUUGGUCUACACGCUAAUGGUAACAGGAUGAGACAAAUGAUUGAUGGAGAUGCAUAUAUAAACGAGUGGUGCUGAGAUGGAUAUACGUACACAACUGUGAUUGGAGAGGGGACGGACAAGUCAAGUCUUGAUGCACCUCGGCCCUUGUGCUGACAAAGCUAGAGCCAGUCAGACAGACACACCACACCAGUUCAAUGAUGCUCCGAAAAAUAUUUUGUGCAAACCAUCUCUUCUCGGCAGAAUUGUAAAAACCCCACUAGAAAAACAUACCUGAGAGAAAAAACUGAAAUGAUACACAUCCAUAAUACAUCUAUAAGAAAACUAUUCAAACCCCAUCUAUAACAAGCAUACUAAGGCCUUGUUUAGUUCACUCCGAAAUCCAAAAAAUUUUCAAGAUUCUCUGUCACAUCGAAUCUUGCGGCAUAUGUAUGAAAUAUUAAAUAUAGACGAAAAUAAAAACUAAUCACACAGUUUGACUGUAAAUUACGAGACGAAUCUUUUGACCUUAAUUAGUCUAUGAUUGGACAAUAUUUACCAUAAACAAACGAAAGUGCUACAGUAGCGAAAUCCAAAAAUUUUUCACAUCUAAACAAGGCCUAAAAGAACAAAUUUUAUGUGCACAUGCACUACUAGAGAAGUUUGCCUUUGUAGUGUAUAUGCACAUGAAACUUGUUCUUUUCGUAUGAAUCUUUAUAAAAUUAUUGGAAUCUUAAUUGUUUUUAUAAUAUAUGCGUUUAAGAUGCACAUUUUUUUUAGACUUGUUAUAUAUGCGAUGGGUUCUUUAUUUAUUUUUCAUAUAUCGUUUGAUAGCUUUAGAUCGCUAGUCUAUUACAAUAUCAUAGUAUAGGAUUAAUGUGGUAGGUUUAGCCAUUAAAAAGAAACGCUACUUACUUGUUAGAUAAAGUUGUGGUCGAUGAGAAAAAUGACCAUGUGUAUUAUUCUGAUGAACAGUAAUGUAUAUAUACAUCUGGCAGUUGCUUUCUAGCGAAAAGGUGCCUAUCGGUGAUGCCUACUGGUGAACCGUCAUUAGCAGUUGCUAAUGACAAGAAUUACAAUAAUUGAUCACUAAUUAAUUAUCCUAAUUAAUCUCAACACUCCCCCUUGAUCAAUUGAUCUUGUGUAGGCAUCCUUGUUUGUUCAUCAAUCAAUGUCUUGUAGCUUUGGAAAACCCUAAGGGAAAAAACCGAAGUAUAUCGAUAUACCAGGCAAAACUCCUUAAAAUCGAGUGGAAAAAAUAAGAAGAAACACCAUGAUAUAUAUUACUCCCAAUUUUAUAGACCCUCUGGGUAUUCCCAAAGACAUAGUCUAAAAAAACUUUGAUCAAAGAUCAAUAUGUCAUAUAUUACCCUCGAAAAACCUCUGUGAGGAAAAAUAGAUAAUAUGGCAUUUACUAUGUGUAACUAUUACCUCAUUUAAAACUUUAUAUGAGAAAACUCUAGAAGAGUAAAACUCAUAUAAAGGAAAGAGUAUAAUGUAUAGUGAAAAUAGGUUCUACUUAUAGAGAUUAUCCCCCUGAUUCUCGUAAAUCUUUAAGCCUUCUCAUACCAAUGCCCUCAACACAUUUACGAAAUGCGGAGUAUGGUAGGGAUUUUGUGCAUAAAUCUGCUAGAUUAUUACAUGACUUAGUUUGCAAGAUUUCAAUUUCUCUAUCAUUACAUGGCUUAGUUACCAAUGCCCUCAACACAUAAUUUCUCUUUUCUUUUACAUGCCCUCAACCCCCUUCUUUUGUGAAACAUUUUUUUAUUUUUCUUGUUGGGACAUAUAGAUAUCCAAGCAAUAGAAACAUUCCUCAAAUAAAAAUAAAAUGGUUUAUUAGCUAAUAUAAAGAAAAGAACUUUGGAGUGGAGUGCGACGUGACAACUUGUUUGUUCUUUCAUUCUUUUUGGAGCUAUUUACCUUUAUGGCCCCCCAAAAAAAAAUACAUCUUCUUUAUAUGGUCUUUUUUAUUUUGAACUUACCUGUAUGGCCUCAAUAAAAUUUUCUUCCUUAUAUAGUCUUCUGUCUGUUUUCUACACCUAACAGUGUUAAGUCAAGGAUAAAAUGACCAAUUUGCCCCUGGCAAAAAAAAGUGGAGUUUUAUUUGUCUAUUAUACAUUUGGAGUAAUAUUACGCAAAUAAAUUUUAAAAUGUACAUGUAAGUUUAGAAUAUUACGCAGAUAUAUUUUAAAAUGUACAGGUAAGUUUGUAGUAGUAUUACACAAAUAGAUUUUAAAAUGUACAACAGACAAACAAAACUUUGUAUUUUUUUCACUAGGGGUAAAAUAGUCAUUUUACUAUUGACUUAACACCGUCAAGUGCCAAAAAAGAACGGAAGGCCAUAGAAGGAAGAAAAUUUCUUUUUAGGAUCAUACAAGUAAGUUCAAAAUAAAAAGAGUCAUGUAAAAGCAAGAUGUAUUUUUUCUAUGGCCAUACAGUUAAAUAUCUCCUUUUUGUGAGCGGUGUUUUCCCACGUGCCAUCAGCCUGGGUAAAUCACCAACCAACGUUGCUUCGACAAGUUACAGCCCAUAGGCCUGCAGACUGACGGCCCAUCAUCGUCCAUCGCUGGGGAUUCGUUUGGAAAUCCGCUUGUGGGCUGUGGCAAGCCAAUCAGGAAAACGACACCUGGGCCGCAGUGUGUGGACAAGAAUUGAGACACCACAUAAUCUGUUUUGCUGCUACUGUGAAGACUUUACCCCUGCUUAAUGACGAGAUUAAGCUGAUUGGUUUGAUUUGGUUUCUGAAUGGAAAUGUCUGAACUGAAGACGUCAAUGACGUUCAGAUUUGAAGAGACAUUAAUGGAGUCUCCAACAAUAUUAAGCUAGUACUAGCUCUAAGCUAGCAAACGUGGAAGAGAACCAAUAGCAUUUAUAUCAUAUUGUGAGAGAGGGAGGGCUAACGUGAAACGUGCGAGUCUAUCUCUUGUCUUUUGCACUAUCCAGCGAAUAAAACAUUGAUUCAAAUAGCCCUAUGCUAGACCAUUGGGGACGCUCUAAGGCUGAUGGGAACUGCUUGCUGCAGCAGCACCAGCUGCAGCCACUCCUAGAAAGGGCAGCCGAGUAGGGCUAACACAGCACAUUCUAGACGCAAACUGCUAACUGAAACCGAAAUAUGGUGAUAAAAUCUUUUUCCAAAAGUCUUUUGAGAGUAAGGUGACAUUGAAAUCUGGGCACAAACCCUUGGUCUAAACAAACACUCGGCAAACAAAUCUCAACUUCUUGCACCAUGGAAUAGACAAAUAAAACUUAUUUGCGUAAUCUCAACUCAGCAUACUGCAAUUACUAAUGAAGCGCCAAAAUUACUCUGGAUUUAACCACCAGCUAUUACAGAUGUGCAUACAGUACAAGUUCUACAUGAUGAACAUGACCACUGUCCACUAUUGAUCAGGCUCGAAAUGGUCAUGAUGCUGUUUUCUGUACAAUUCUUUCAACUAUUGUACUCCUAUAUGACCUACGAACAAAAGUACAAAACACAGCUAGAUUAUCUCGAGUGGUUCUGAAGCUGAACUCUCAUCUACAUGUAUUUGGUUUCAGUGCUUACACAUAGAACACCUGCCCAACAUUCAGAAGGCUCUCAUGGGGAACAUUGAAGAUGGCACUGUUCUCCCUGCAGAUCUUCCUAAGGAAAGCAUACAUGUAGUUGAUAGCAAACUUCUUGAUGAACCCUGAAUCCCUACGGGCCCUGACAAUCGUGUUCCCUAGGAUGUGCACCACACCAGCGUCCCUGCACGCGUUCAGAAACGCAAUCUCGUCGCCCACAGUCUGGUACAUCUGACCUGAUGACACAACCUGGCUGUUCCCUAUAUGAUUUGGGGACUGCACCUGUAUAAUGGAGUCAUGGGAUGUAUAGCUGAGAUCCAUGUUUGAACUGGUGCUGAUGCCAUUGAUUCUUUGGUUGGCGUUGCCUGCCUGGUUCAGCUCACGGGUGCUGUAGUCAUCAGAAUCCGUGUACUCUUCCAUCAUACUCUCCAGCCUGAUAUAGAGCAUCAGGCUGUUAAAGAGCAUCUGCUCGAAGUCGUCAUCCUUCUUGUGGAUGUCCUUGUAGCCAUACCGCGCCACACAUCUAAACAUGUGGAAGUUCUUGGGACCAAUUCGCUUCACAAGGAACCUUUCAUCUAGUGGCACAGUGUAAACAGGAAGGUAUUUCACACAGACGAAGACCAGAGUGGAGUGGAUGGCAGGGAGAUUGGUGAUGAAGUGUGAGAAGAUGUGAGGGACACCACUCGCCAGCUCGGUGUAAACCAGGCCUACACCAGGCACCCUGACCAGACCAAGGCUUGGGCCAAGGCCUAGGAUCCACGCCAUGGAUACCUUGCUGUGCAUCUCGAAUUCAUACCGCUUGAGUGUACCAUAGUGCCAUACAUACAUGAUGAUGAGGAAGGCAACAGCAAACACAAGUGGAACCCAACCACCCUGAUCGAUCUUCCGCACCACAGCAGUGAAGUAUGGAAUUUCAAUAACCAAUGACAGCGUGGUGAAAAGAAUGACCAAGGUCCAGUGGCUGCGCCACACCAGCAGCAUUAUGGGGAUCAUGAGAAAUGUUGUCACAAGCAUAACCAUUAUCACAGCAGUACCUGUUUACACAACAUUAGUCCAUGUUAGCAACUGAGCUGGAACAUCAAAUGCAGAGACAGAUAUGGGAAGAUUUUACCAUAUGCAUUUGCUAUCUGACUUUGGUUUUUAAAUCCAGCAGUGACAGCGAUGCAGAAUAUCAAAAGGAUCCAAUUAAUAUCAGGACUGUAUAUUUGGCCUAGAUAUUUCUUGGAAGUAUGGAUAAUUCUCACUCUGGGGAAGCACCCUAGAGCAAGUGCUUGCUUGAUAAUUGAAUAGGUCAUCGAUAUAGUUGCCUGACUAGCAACUACUGCAGCAGCUGUUGCAACAAUGAAUGAUGGCCAAAGUACAGAAUCUGUACCAAAUAAUGGUGUCAAUGUGCAUUCAUGUAUACAUGGUAAACGAAGACUCCCUCUAUCUGACAUUACCUGGAAGGGAAAAAUAGAAGGCAUGGGAGACAUGGUCUUUGUUCUGAGCUAUAUAGGCAGCUUGGCCCGUAUACUGCAAAAGAAGGCAUGGAAACACAACCACCGUGAAAGCAAUCUGCACACAAAAAUGUGAUGUCAUCAGCAGGCAAGCAAAAGGAUUUACUUCUGUACUCAUGUGAGAAGAGUAGGUAAAAAAGUACAUUUGCUUCUAAAAGGUUCCUUGGUUAUCAUAAGAACAUUUUCAGUCAAUAAACUACCUGAAUAGCUUGUACAGGGAAAUAUGAAAGAUCAGCAAACAAUGCUUCUGUCCCUGAAACAUGGCCCAAUAUUUCAGUCCUGGUAAUUGCCAUUAAACAAAGGACAAGAUUAUUAUAAAAUUAGGAAAGAUGUUCAAACCUGUAAUGCUAAGCAUAAUUCCUCCUAAAGAAGCCCAGCUAGUCUUCCCUCGCUUAAAGUACCGAUAUACAUAAAUAGGAUUAAAAGCCUUGAGAACAGAUUGAUCGUAUUUGGAAAUGUUUACGGCGCCCAGGACUCCAAUGAGUAUGAACCAAACAAAUACUAUUGGAGCAAAAAGCCAACUGACUUUAUCAGUACCAAAGUGCUGCAUGCUGAAUAAUCCAAUCAAUAUAACCACAGAGACGAUGACAACCACAUCUGAUAUGGGAAAAAAUGAAAGAAUUCAGUCAUCCACAUACUGAUCUCAGUAUAAUGAUCAAUGGUCAAUGUCUUUUAAAACAGUGACACUAAACAAAACUAUUCAGUGUACUACAUUACCACUAUAAAGAUUACAAAUGUGAAGGGAAAAUUCUCAAAUCACAGUCAACAUGUUAUGUUAACAUUAUUCUUUGAAUAGACUCUGAAGAAGGUUAUCAUUUUACUAGAUAAAACAGCAUGGAAAGUUAUGUUGCUUUGUUAUUCAUAUCGCACCUCCACAUUUCUAGUUGAACUACUGAUGGUGAAGAAAUUAACAUCAUCCGCUGAGUGUAAUAGCAGUUAAAGAUAUGAAAGACCAAGGUAUAAGCUAAUGAAUGCAGGAAAAACAAUACUAACUUCCAGAUUUCACAAGUACCAUUUCUCAUUCUGGGCUGCUCCACUUGUAUUCCUCCAGUUGCAGAAAGAACUGCAAGUUGUGAUGCAAACCUAAGAUCAAUUCACUUGGGCAGAAAUAAAAUAGCAAACAUCAUGAAAAAGAUAUAUGUAACACAAUUAAAGGGGUGGAAGGGCAUUAUAAUACUGAAUAUUUUCCUGGUCAAAUAUUGUUAACUGAACAUUGAGCCAAUAGAAAUAGAAGGUAAAACAGAACAUCACUAUGCCGUAAGUUUUUUUUCAUUUUAAAGCAUGAAAACAGUUAUAAUUUGAUAAAUCAUGUGGUUGUGGGACAUUAUCUAAUUGCCGAAAACGUUACUGUAUUUCCUGGAGGAACUGUUAAGGUUAACAUUAUAUUUCAAAGGAACUGCCAGGAUGCCUUGGAGAAUUUUUUUUUCAGUGACCAAAUGACUUCAUUAAUAUUGAUGUUCAGUAUGCCAAUGAUAGAAUUUGUUGAGAAAAUAUGCUGUUUUGCAGUUCACAUCAAACUAAAAGCUAUAAUCUAAGUUCUCAUCAAAAUAUCAAUUUCAGUAAAUAUGGUAAUAAAUGAAUAGUAAAAAACAUAGAGAUUUUUCAUAAAAAAAUAACAUAAAGAUACUCACCUGAUAUUGCAGGAGUGAGGAUUCCAUCUCCAACUGCCAUACAAGUACCAAAAAGAACAAGAAUAAGAAUGGCAUUCUUCCUGAUUUGGUGCCCCUCUAACCAUCUUUUAAUCUUUGCAGCAAGAGAUUUCUCAUCAUAUGUGUGGCGGCUGUAUGUUGUUAGGUCUUCAUCUGUUCUAUGCUGAUUCGGAAUAAUGUUUAUCUUUGCAUGCCGGCAAAGCAGUGAGUAAAGAGCAAAUGUUCCACCUGGCAUUACAGUAAAACUCUAUUAUGUUGAUAUUCGUGAUCACAGAAUUUGUAAGCCAAACUGAUUGAAAAUUUACUAAUAUGCGAAGAUCAAGUACUGAAGAUGAUAACAUGCUCAAGUGCGCAAAUCUUUGCAACCACAACCAAAUGGCUCAAAACAAACAUUGGACAAUAUGAGGCUUUCCUAUCACACUUUUCAUCAUAAUAUUUAGUUCAGUUUGCUUCUGGAAGUUCAGAAUGAUCAUGCUAAUCUGUUAGAGGUAUGAUGCAUUCUGACUUUGAGCUAAACCAAUAAAAGGCUUAAAUGAUUGUAGUGUUGCAUGACAUGAAUCAAAACAAAAUGCAGAAAGCAUGUGAAUGAGAAAUUUAGCAAAUAAGCACCCUAGGAGAGCUGUAAAACAAUAUGUUUACUUUUACUGUAUCCUCUGAACAAACUAGAAUGAUCAGAUUCUUUCAUAACUGAAGCAGAAAUUUCAAGGAAGCAAGAGUGUAAGACAUACUCGUACCUUGGCCAUUAUCGUUUGCCCUCAAGACAAUGAAGACGUAUUUAACAAGUGGAAUCAGGGUAAGGGAGUAAAUAAUAAGCGAGAGUGCUCCAAUAACUUGUUCCGUGUCUUCUAUUUCACGAGGGAAAAUGUUAUAGAAUACAUAUAAAGGCGAUGUGCCUAAAUCCCCAAACACCACACCGAGGCUUUGGAAAGCUAGUUGUAACAGCACAAUUGUAGGGUAGGUCUGCAUAUGCAAAAGGGGAAACAAGAAGAGGGCAAAAUUACUAACCACUCAUUAGCAGAUCAGUUAGGCAGACACUACUAAUAAUCAUAAAAUGAACCAGUUGACACCAUCUAAGGUAGCAUUUCAGAGUAAAAGUUGUGAAAUGAAAAAUCCCUUUGCAAGCAGUUACGUGAUAAUCACCUUUUCCCUGUACAUAUUCCUCAAUCUCCCGGCCUCUGCAUCCAUGGGCUGAUCGAGAUUCCUUUCCAGCUCCCACAUUGCCCCCCUACCAGGCUGCUCAUUUGUUGUGCUAGUAGUCUCCAUGGGUUCAAACUAAUCAGCAGCACGGCCUUGCAGCCUGCAGGCACCAAGAACACAUCAGUCUGUUUCCGAAGCCAUCACAAAGAACAAAAGCUCCGAACUUGAGCAGCAAUCGAAGGGAUAAGAUGGCCAGUUUUAAACUGUCUAGAGAUCGAACUUCCACGAACUUGUUACUUGUGAGUUAACAACCAGAAUUCAGGAUAACUGAAAUUAACACAUAGAUGUUCUUACGCCAAACAUCCACAGCUGGUGAACAUAAAGUCAUGCAUCCAAAGGACAAAGUUAAUUUUCACUAUUUCCGAAUGAUAUGGGACAGUGCGGCGGGAGGAAAAGGUGAUCAAAUAAACAUGCAUGCUGAAUCACCGGCAGAUUCGACACAUAAGCUCUGUUUUCAUGACAAACAAAAUAGCAAAGAAAACAGCGAAAUGGUCAAAUUCUGGUGCCAUUUCCGCAGUAUCUACCAACAAUGGGAGAGAGAAUCUAUUGCUGACCUUGUAAACUCAAGAACAAAGCCCCCAAUGAAUGGCGGGAUUCCAGACUCAAGAGCACGCUAAGAUCAAAACUUGAGCGGAAAUUCGCACGCUCCCAGCAUCAGUCCAGGCAGCCGGCGACGAGCCCCCAGUCUCCGAAAGCAUUCCAAGCUGGAUUUGUGUUUUUCUUUUUCCUAUGGCGUCCUCGACUUCCUCCUCCUAUCCACCGCGGCGCAGAGAUUCGCGGGCGGGACCGGCAAGAAGAGACGCCGCUGCCGGCUGCCGCGCAUGCGCUGCACGGAGGGGAGGAGGACCGGACACCCGACCCCUCGCACACGGACCACACGCGGAGAGGCGCUGCCUGCCAACCCCGCGGCGGAGAGAGGAUGGGGACGGAUGCGAUCGGUUUUUCUAGUAGGAGAAUAACAAUGGGCAAAUCUCUUGUCGGAUUGCAGAGCUGAUGGAGUGGACAGGAUUUGGUUGCAGCUCGUUGCGAUCGCGAUGCGAUGCGUUUGCGGCUCAAUAAUAGAGGAGCAGCAGCAAUAAUCAAAUGCUAAUGGCAGGUGCGCUCAAAAGUCAAAUCAACUAAUCAAGUACUAUCUUAAUCACUGAUGUGAUGCCCAUAUAUCGAUCGAUCGAUCUAUCGUAAUAUAAUAAUAAUCUAAUAUUAUUUGCAUAAUCUGGUGGCGUGGCGUCAGGCUAAACAUGGCAGACGCAGCUUCUGUCAUGUGAAAAAACUCCAGAUGCAUCUGCUAUGAUUAGUAGUAAUAGAAUUAGCAGGAGCAAGUAGUAAACGUGCGUAAGAUAACAAUUAGCUGGAGUGACUGUAAUUAGGUGUGCGCUGCAGCUAUUGCCUAGUAUAUUUCGAGCUAAGCUCGGCGGAAAAGUCAGCUACUUCAUAUCCAAUAGCAUAGCAGCAUACAUUACAUGCUUGGUUAAACCCCUUCGUUGUAUCCUACAAACUCAAAAUCACAUAAGUAUAGGUCUUAGGGCAACCUAAGAUAUUGUGUCAAACAAGUUAAAUACAUACUUCAUAUGUUCCACUUUAACUGACAUUUUAGCUUUCAGUCUGGUGCAGCAAAGAUUAUUUGAAUGUAGAUAUUGCGUAUGUCUAAGUACACUAAAGAAACUGUGAUGUGAAUAUCAAAAUAACAGUUAAAAUGGUAUGGAGGGAGUAGGUCAGACUCUUCUAGAAUAGAGAUGCACCGAAUUUGUCUGAAUAUGCCAUAUAUGUCCAUAAACUUUGAAUUGUAUUUAUCAGCCCUUAAACUUGAUUAUCCGUUCACUGUAGGUUAUCCUACCUUGUCGGCAUCAUUUUGCCGACGUGGCAUGACUCUUCCAUUAGUUUCUAAGACAUGACGGUGUUAAAGUCAUGUGUGAAAUGAUGAUUUUGUCUUAAGUGAAAAAUAAAUCGGUGUAGAGUUCAAUUCUUCUGUGUUGAAUUUUGACGAAUAUUUUACAUAGUUUAAUGUCGUCACAAUUACAUAAAAUAAGGAAUAUAUUAUUUUUAUGUAAUUGUGAAAACCCUAGACCAUUUAAAAUAUUUAUUCCUCAAAAUUAAACAUAGACAAAUUGAACUCUAUGUUGAGUCAUUUUUCGCUCAAGGGUAAAAUCAUCAUUGCACGUUUGGCUUAUCGUUAAAUCCUAUAACUAACUGAAACGCCAUAUAAUAUAAGGAACUGAAGAUAGCUUUAGGGCCAAAUUGAUAAGUUCAAAAAUAAAAAGGUAAAGAAAGCAAGCCAGACUUUUUCAAGAGCUAUAUAAACAAUUCUCUCUAAAAAAUAAAUCAUUAAGUCGUUUAUAAGCACUUUAUUUUUUUUUAGUUACACACUACAACGCAGAUGUUUUGCUAUUGAUGGAAAUAUUGUGUACUACUAAAAACACAAAAUCAUUAAACCCUAAAAUAUUCGCUCCAAUGAGAGUCAAAUCGAGGGCCUCAUGUGUUAUUGAGCCCUUGUGACCACCAGCCUUUUCGCAAGUACUCCGUAUUAUAGGGCCUCAUGUGCUAUCGAGCUCUUGUGAUCACUAACCUUCUUCACAAAUUCUUCAUAUUAUUAUAAUAAUUUUGUACAAUAAAUUACUGUCAUCGACCACAAAAGCAAUACAAAUAAAUGUUUGUGUCUCUCCAAAUCCUAAGAUCUACUCUGGCUUGUUUGAAAAUUUUGAGGUUUACACUACCCCUAGGCUCUAGCUACAUACAGGAACAUCCAAACAGGCGUGUAUACUUGAGAACCACGUGCUUUGAUGCACAUUACGGAGUACUCUCGUGACAAUCACCGGCUACCUAAAUGUAGGAUGCUACCUGCCAACUCUUUUUUCUUGGCUGCAAGCCUGCAACAAUAUUGGCAAACCUGAGAUACAAGCUUCCCCAUGGAGAUGACAGCCUGACCGCAAAAUCUCCUGCGAAGGGGACGAGAAGAGCAGAG